UUCUACAUCGUACGAGUAUCGAAUGAAGCAGAUGGAUCAAGUGUGUAGCGGGGAAGUGAAUCGUGGCACGAAGGACGAGCGAGAAUGAAGAAGGGAAGUGAAAAAGGAGGCUGCAGAACGAGUUGGAGGUGAGAUGAGCUUUAUUGUCAAGUCACGCGGGCAUCGUGGCCUAUCUCUAUCUACCGUCGUCACCCCUUGUGCCGGCUUUCCUCUAUGACACCCCCUUACCGAGUGACGUGGACGUUGCUGCCUCUUCCAUCUGUGCUUGUAUAUAAUGUGAGAUAAUAUGCUGCGAUCGAAGAAUUGCAAAUCGUUUUGAUCGCAACACGGUUCGAGUUGUGUCGACACUCGGAGGUCCGAUCCGAGAUUCGGUCGGAAACAAUACGACGAGCGAUUUGUGCUGGCGAUAGGUGAAAUCGGGGUGGGGAGAGGACUGCAUGAAUUUCAAUCGACAUCUUAUCUAGUACACGAGCGAGCUUCGAGUGCCGGUGGAUCGUGAUCAAGUGGACCUCCAUGGCGAGGACAAUACACGCUGCGCCCGACAAGUGACAAUACGCUAUCAGGGUCGUUCGAGGCGUAUUGCUCUUUUGUCCGAACUACUAUACCUGCCAUACGUACUUGAACAAGUUCAUGGAAAGUGUGAGGAUUGACCCGGCCAUGGAUUACCAAUGAAGAUUGCGUAAGUGUUGUUCAAACCUGUCGUGAGGAGAACAUGGCGUGAAUAUUAGGAAGAGAUAAGGUAUUCCAGACCGUAGUACUUAUUUCCUUAGAAAUUUUAACAUAGCACAUUACACGCAGUGGAUUAUGGAUUAGUAAAUAAAUAUUCGAUGAUUGAUAGAAAAAUUGAAAAAUUUUAUAAAAUUAAAUUUUUUGAGAAGAAUAAAUAAUUUAUUUUACUUGCAAGUCAUUUUAUCCAAUUUAGAAACUUGUCAAAGGUAUUCCAAAACUUACCAAACAAAUAUUUCAAAAAGUGGCAAAACCUAUUCUCUCGAUAUUUCCAUUAAAACUUUCCACAUAUAUUUAAAGACGGUCGAUGUAUAAAAGGAAGAGAAAAAAAAAAACUGUGACAGAAACUGCGACAAGAAGGAAAACAUAACCUCUUUAUCCAGUUUUCCGGAACCGUCAGCUACUCUAUCGAAUAUAUCCUGGCUCCUUUAUGAAUUACUCGACUUUGGACCCGAUGCGACUGCUAGAGUAUUAAACCCGUCUCAAGAUCGACGUACAACUUUUAAGGCCUUCCACACCCUGGAAAGCCACCCUACCUCUUUCUCGCGUCAACCCUCCUUCGUACGGUUAUACGAUUUCACCGAAGCAUGGGGGUAAAGGGGGUACAGGAUGCGAUAGGAUUUACUGCUCCAGACAUAUUUCAGCUUCCAAUCCAAGCAGUUGGAACGAAAAUCGGCGCGUUUCGUGCUUUUUUCGUCCUAUUUUUCCGCGUUAUCGACCACUCUUUAUAUAGUUCCAUAUAACAAGGAAACGCAUGAAACGUUACAAGCCUAAUCUGUACAUGGAAUUGGUGACUGAAGACUUUCACUUUCUAGAAGAAAUGUUCAACAAAAGAAGAUUUCAUCGAUGAAUAAAAAUUGAAAAUUGUGAAAGGAAGAACAUCAAGAAAGAAAUAUUAUUGAAGCGUAUUAAUAGAGAAAGAUAUAUUCUCUUGUUAGAGAAGAAUAACAAUCCCUCGAAUUCUCACUCCUCUACAAGAUCAUUAUGGAAGCAAUUAAGUAAUGCACCUUGGGGAACCAAAUCCCUGCAGAAUCGAAGCAAAACGAAAACAUUGGAAGAUAAACGGGGAUCGAUAAAAAAUCGUCCAACAUCUAUUGAUUAAUUAUCUACCAUUAUGAUUAAUUAUCUCUCCAUUUCUUGUAAACCAUUAUUUUCAAACCAAUCAUUUCAAUUUAUUUCUUAUCUUUCAGAUACAUUGACACAUAUGUAUAUAUUACAUUAAAAUUAUUCUAAGAAAGAAGAAUUCUAAAAAUCUAUUGAAGAAUACUCUCUUCAUUACAGAAUGUAAUAAAAACAAAAAAUUCGAAGCACUGAUAAUAUUUUACAUUAUUUUAACGUCUUGUGCAUUCCUGAAGAGCCAUUAAUAUAAUCAAUGGAAUUGCAAAAGACAAUUACGUGCCAAGAAGGAAACAAAAAAUACUAAGAGAAAUAAAGAAGAAAUAAAAAAAAAAGAAGAAACGAAUGAGUGUCGCUAUGGAGAAAGUAGCCGAAGGAGAUCGAAUCGGUUGGUAAAUUAGAUGACGAUUGUUCGCUUCCAAGGCUACUAAUCAGGAGCUUGCACUUCCCCCUCUUUCAACGAAACGAGACUAGUUCCUCCUUCUUCUUAUUCAAUUCGACGCCUCUUUCCUUUCCUUUAUUUUCGUUUCUCCGUAUAUUUCUUUUCCCUUCCCAGCUCCCUUGACUCGAGUGGACUCGUCAGAAAGUCAGAACUGGCGCUAACUCGUCUCCACUAACGGGCAAUCAGAUUGCCACUGUUUGGGACAACAAACUCUGCCAGAGAGCGUGUCUCUCCUCCUUGUAUAGCUUAUUUAUCGAAGAAGUUAGCCAAGAGGGUUAAACAGCAGUAAAUCCUCCCUCACGAGGCGGAAUGGGCAUUUGCGACUUAAUUGCUUCGACCUGAUUCCCGAUUUCCCCCAAUGGAUGGAUGAUUGGGCAACGAUGAUUUGCGAUAUUCACAGAUGGCAUUGAUGAUUAGUUCUUAAAGUGGUCACGUGCUCGAGGCAAUCCUCUCGAGACCUGGAUAAUAUCUAUUCGACGGACGUGUACGGGGAAUGUCAGCAGCUGUAUCCGUGAACAAUCAGAUCGAGGAUAUCCUGCAUCCCGAUUUCCCGUAACCCUACGCGCCAGACUCGGGCGAGGGUGAAUCGAGGGUCUCGGUCUUAUUGUCCCAUUUACACCACUUUCUUAUAUCUUGAGAAUUCUUUGUCAAUAUCUUUGUCGAUACGAUUUUACCCAAUUAUAAUGAAAC